CAAUCUCUUGCUGCUUCUAAAUUUUUUACGCGGUUUCUCUCCGUAAAAGCCUGGGAUUCGAAAAUAAAUCUUCGUCAAACUUUCUCUCUCUCUGCAAUUGAUUCUUACCCUAGUUCUUUAAUGGGAACCCCAGAAUUCCCCGAUUUGGGAAAACACUGCAGCGUCGGCGACUGCAAGCUCAACGAUUUCUUGCCCUUCACUUGCGAUCGCUGCCAAAAGGUAUUCUGUCUGCAACAUAGAAGAUACGGUACACACCAGUGUCCGAAUGCAAAUGAUGAGGACAUCACUGUCCUAAAAUGCCCAUUAUGUGCUAAAGGAGUUCGACUUGUUCCAAAUCAAGACCCAAACAUCACAUGGGAUGUUCAUGUUAACACUGAUUGUGACCCAUCAAACUAUCAGAGAGCUACCGAAAAGAAAAAGUGCCCUGUUCCUGGUUGUAGAGAACCGUUGACGAUCUCCAACAAAAUCCAGUGUAGGGACUGUAUCCAAGAUCACUGCUUGAAACACAGGUUUGGGCCAGACCACAAGUGCCCUGGACCAAAGAAACCUGACUCUGGGUUCCCAUUCAUUGGUCUUCUGAAGAGGAAUCAGACAGUGCAACCUAAUUCUGGUUCUUCAAGCGGAGGAUCGUCAUGGUGGAGUUCAAGUUUAAUAAAUGCAGCAUCAAGUGUCAGGGCCAGUGCUGAAUCGGGUAUACAGAGGUUGAGUACAACAACUAAUCAAGCUCUGUGCAAAGCAAAAGAUGGAAUGUCACAGAGCAGUAGUGGAGGUGGUCCUGAGCAAUGUCCUCAGUGUCCAUCAAAGUUCUCCUCUGUCACUGCACUUAUUGAGCAUGUCGAGAAAUCUCACAACAAAGGUGGCCAACAACAGAGAGUGACUGUUGACGUCUGUCCUAAGUGCAGCAGGGCUUUCCAAGAUCCAGUGUUGCUGGUGGAGCAUGUUGAGAAGGACCAUACAGGCACUUCAAAGGCAUAAUGCACGUUAACAUUGAGAAAUUUGUUGAUACUUUUGUUACGAAAACAAGGACUGUUUUCAGUGAGAGCAAGGGAUGCGGAUUGGACAUAAAAUAGCCAUUCGCCUGCUGGCUAGCCAUUGAAGAGGAUUCAGUAUCAUCCCUAGAAGCUAUGGAGGUGGAAAUUGAGCAUUUCAUGCUCAUUCCUGGCCGUUAGGCUCCAAGGCUUGUUGCAGAAGAGCCUAGGCUCUUCUCUUCCUCUUUGGCAGCAUGAAACAUCAAGUCUGUUAUCUCUUGUAAUAUCUUCAGCCAGGAUUGCCUUGGUAGCUGCUUCAUUCACUUCAGAUUCUUCGCCUCAAGCAUCAAAGAUGUUGAAGACUGGGGCUUUGAUCUUGCAUCUGGUGUUGGCGGAUAGAUCAAGAAGAAGCAAGUCCAAUCUGCUGUGGAACAGUAUAUUUCUAAUAUUUGCUCUUC